UUGAUGUUUUGACGAGCGCCCUUACGUCCCGGGACGCACGUUUAAACCCGAAUGGAGGGGCAUUCAGGUGGUCUGAUAUUUAAUAGAAAUCCACUGUUGCACGAAUUAUUACGACAGGCGUCUUCCAGGUACACAGAACGGAACAACUUUUUCAGCAAUGGUGCAGAAACAAUGCCACCCAGCAGGAAAAAAAUUGCAACUCAUCUGCAUGAUCAUAAAAAGGUUCCCCGUCAAUUAAGUGGAAGACCCUGGCAUUGCUCUGGACCGAGAUGCCUGGGACAGCUACAGUGCCCUCUGCUGGACCUCUCGCAUAUUCAUCUUUAUCCAGAUCUGCCUUACAAACGCCAGCCGGCCCCUCGUCCCCUCGUC